GCUAGCCGGAGCCCUACACAUGCAAGCCGAGCGGUAGAGAUCUUUCGGGAUCUUGAGAGCGGCGUACGGGUGCGGAACACGUGUGCAACCUGCCUUUAUCUGGGGGAUAGCCUUUCGAAAGGAAGAUUAAUACCCCAUAAUAUACUGAAUGGCAUCAUUCGGUAUUGAAAACUCCGGUGGAUAGAGAUGGGCACGCGCAAGAUUAGAUAGUUGGUGAGGUAACGGCUCACCAAGUCUACGAUCUUUAGGGGGCCUGAGAGGGUGAUCCCCCACACUGGUACUGAGACACGGACCAGACUCCUACGGGAGGCAGCAGUGAGGAAUAUUGGACAAUGGGUGAGAGCCUGAUCCAGCCAUCCCGCGUGAAGGACGACGGCCCUAUGGGUUGUAAACUUCUUUUGUAUAGGGAUAAACCUACCCUCGUGAGGGUAGCUGAAGGUACUAUACGAAUAAGCACCGGCUAACUCCGUGCCAGCAGCCGCGGUAAUACGGAGGGUGCAAGCGUUAUCCGGAUUUAUUGGGUUUAAAGGGUCCGUAGGCGGAUCUGUAAGUCAGUGGUGAAAUCUCACAGCUUAACUGUGAAACUGCCAUUGAUACUGCAGGUCUUGAGUGUUGUUGAAGUAGCUGGAAUAAGUAGUGUAGCGGUGAAAUGCAUAGAUAUUACUUAGAACACCAAUUGCGAAGGCAGGUUACUAAGCAACAACUGACGCUGAUGGACGAAAGCGUGGGGAGCGAACAGGAUUAGAUACCCUGGUAGUCCACGCCGUAAACGAUGCUAACUCGUUUUUGGAAUGUAAGUUUCAGAGACUAAGCCGAAAGUGAUAAGUUAGCCCACCUGGGGAGU
rnacentral:rRNA from 1 species